rnacentral:lncRNA from 1 species
GUAAAGCACCAUUUGCGCAGAAAUUUUUAAAGAGCACCACAGUCUUUCCUUAGUGACAUCUAAACGGCCGUCUGGUGUAAACAUCGAAUUCUAUAGACCAAAAAUUAUUCAUUAUGUACCAAAAACCGUCAGUGGUGGUUACAUAGACAUUUGGCACCCGCCUUGGCCAAAAGUCAUGCUUUUCGUCGGAUUUUGGUCCGAUCGAGCAAAUUUUGCAUCAGAUUUGACAUGGUUUAGACGAUGAAAACCACCACCAAUAUCAUAAAGUCAGCUUGAGUUUGCUUUGCGGGACUAAACAUUCCUCGGGAUCACAUUAAACGUCCGGGAUGAUCAAUUCCACGGCGCUAUCGAGAUUGCGCUGCACCACGGGGUUGUAACAUUUUUUGUUAGGACUAUGAGUUGAUGAUUCGACAUUGGAUGUUUCGUUUACCUAAUGCGCCCGAAAGAUGACAAUGAAACAUUUUUGUUUGAUAUCGAUCUAUUGUUAAAAUUGUUAAUCUUCAAGAACAAUUUAUUUUGAAAGAUUAUCAUUUCUAAUAUAAAUUUU